GGAGAUCUGCCUGGGCAUCAAGCAGAGAAGGCCUCAAUCCACCACUAUCUCUGCACAGGAAGGGUUAGGAAACUCAGGCUGCUGGUCCGGGCAAGCAGUUGCUCCAAAUGCAUGGAGUUCUGCCUGGAUGUGGAGUGAAGAGGCCCCCCUGCAUCAGGAUCUCUACACAGGAAGGAUGGCCGUAGCUCAGGCUGCUGAACCAGAAGAUAGAUCAUGACAUCAGUUGUCAGUGCUGGCUGCUUUCUACUCUACCAAGAUGUGCCUCACCUUAAAGAUCACAAGCAGUGGAGACUGUUCAAUUCAGAUCGACAUGAACUGACACCUGGGCAUUGGGAUUUUGGCCUAACUCAUGUUUGUUCUUGAAUGUAAGGUAUCUCAUAGAACUAGUGAACAGAUCCCUGGUAUUCAGAUUGAGUUUAAAGUAAACUGUGCAGAAGAUAUAUUCCAGAGAAUUUCAUAGGUUUAUAGAUCAAAUGAUCUGUGUUUCUAUGAAUUUUAGUGUGAAAUGCUCAACUGACAGAGCCUCAAAAAUUGAUAUGUGGUUUGUGGAAGAGAACAAAAGGGCAAUGUGGCAGACACGCCUAAUGGACUGAUAAAGAUUCAUGCUUUCCUUAGGUUGAUUGCCACUAGGUGAGGUGGUGUGGCUACUUCUCCCUCUAAUGAAUGCAAGUGGGAAUGAUGUGAACCUCUUUAGGACUAAGUGGUUAUGAAAUAGGAAUAUUUUCUCUGUGUCUUCUUUUCUCAAGUACAGUGCAAAGGGAAAGGAGCCCAAAGACGUAGAUAAGGACAGAAUCA
rnacentral:lncRNA from 1 species